ensembl:lncRNA
UUUUUCUUUUGGAGAUUGCUCCUUGUGGAGUUUUCUUGUGAGCCUACAGCACUGUCCCCAACAGAAGACAAAAAACAACCUCCACAGAGGACAGUCCAAUCCUUGCCUACCUCAAAAAGCGUUUGUAAAGUUUGCUGGCACAUUUGCAAACAUAAAGGACAAGAGAAACUUGACGGGGGAAAAAUGAAGAGCAAUCAGCUUUAAUGAAUGUUAGCUGGAGCUGUGCAGCUUGAACCUUCCAUCAACAGAUUUCAUUCACUUUGUCCAUCAUUUAAAACUUUUCCAAAAAUUAAAUCCUUUCCAUGUGGCUCUGUUUCUUGUUGCUUCUAAAGCCAAGAGAACAGAAUUAAGGCUAGAAAUUAAGCAGAAAUGUGUUUUUCUACUUCUAUAAGGUUUGGGGAAAAUGUUAUGUUGCUUUACAAUCAAAAUUUGCUUUUACCUUAUGCAACUACUGAAUUAUAUUACUGUUAAACAAGGAAUAUUAUUAAGCAAUGAUUGAGGAGAACAACAUUGCCUUAUAUUACUUUUAGCUUGCAGAAGCCACUUUGUUUUAAACACUCAUUUGAAAAGAUCUGUUUGAAACCAUUUUCAAUUCAUUUGGAAGAGACUGUAUUUCAUGUUGUCUUGAGUGGCAUAGUUGGAUUUUUUUUUCCAUUUAACACAACUGUGGGGUUUUCUGUGUAAUUAAUAU